rnacentral:tRNA from 1 species
UGUGGUAAGAACGGGACU